rnacentral:rRNA from 1 species
CCUACGGGAGGCAGCAGUGGGGAAUCUUGCGCAAUGGGCGAAAGCCUGACGCAGCCAUGCCGCGUGAAUGAUGAAGGUCUUAGGAUUGUAAAAUUCUUUCACCGGGGACGAUAAUGACGGUACCCGGAGAAGAAGCCCCGGCUAACUUCGUGCCAGCAGCCGCGGUAAUACGAAGGGGGCUAGCGUUGCUCGGAAUUACUGGGCGUAAAGGGAGCGUAGGCGGAUAGUUUAGUCAGAGGUGAAAGCCCAGGGCUCAACCUUGGAAUUGCCUUUGAUACUGGCUAUCUUGAGUACGGAAGAGGUAUGUGGAACUCCGAGUGUAGAGGUGAAAUUCGUAGAUAUUCGGAAGAACACCAGUGGCGAAGGCGACAUACUGGUCCGUUACUGACGCUGAGGCUCGAAAGCGUGGGGAGCAAACAGGAUUAGAUACCCUGGUAGUCCACGCUGUAAACGAUGAGUGCUAGUUGUCGGCAUGCAUGCAUGUCGGUGACGCAGCUAACGCAUUAAGCACUCCGCCUGGGGAGUACGGUCGCAAGNUUAAAACUCAAAGANAGUGCGNGNGAGNGCGACGAGACGACGAGAGGAG